AAGACAGACAUUUUUAUACUUACUAAUCUUCAUUGAAUUUCAACUCUCAAAAACAAAAUGUGUAAUAAUAAUCAACAGCAUUUCUAAUGUGAAAACAGUUCAUUUAUCUUAUCUAGGCUGUGUUCACUGCAGCCCAAGUGGCUUUGGGUAAUCAGUCCCACUUUCGGCGCCCUUGCUUGUGGAUCUAUUCCAAGUACUGUUUAAAAACAAUAUAAUAUACUGUGUGGGGUUCAUCAGUGGUGAUAAAUGAUUAUGCAAAACUCCACCGCAAAGUUUAUGCAAAACUCUUCAAAACACCGGCACAGAUGGCUUUCUGUCUCUCUCCCUCUUCUAUCACACACGCUAUUCCACACAUGCACACUGACACCCCCUACCUUAAGGGCUAGGGUUACAAUUUUGGAUUUAUUCAUGCAGAUUUAUUUUUUUAUUUAUUUUUAAAAGCUUCUUUCUUUUCACAUGUUUAUUUACAGCAUUAUAUGUCGAUAUUUAUAUCGUAAUAGGCUGUAUAGUGUAUAUUAACUUAUUGGGAGAAAACCGGUAGUUCUAUGCAAAAUCAGAGGUUGAGCACCCCUAUAUAGCCAAAAUGGUGUGAUCCUUGUUUCAUAGUGGCUCUGCGAAGAUUCAACUGUGAGAUCGAGUUGAAUCGAAUAAUUGUCCACGAAGUGUAAAGUUUAACCUGUGUUUGCUAUUUAUUAGCUUUGUUAUUAUCCUGUUUAUUAGAAGAAAGUAUGUUUGAGAACAAUAAUUGAAGGUUAAGGUUCAACUUUGAACUGUUCUUAACUUGAUCAGCUCUUUGUUCAUUUAACUUGUGACACCCUGUGGGGUCAGGAGUGGGUGUGGCCUAUCGCUCUCUCUUCCCUGUAGAGGAAGAGCUGAUUGUGGUAACUGGAGGCACCUGGGCCCAGUGCCCUUGAGUGUAGGCUGAAACUCUAUCUUCUCAUUUCUGCAGGAGGCUGCUGUCGAGGCCAGGUCAGGGCUCCCCGGUUUCCUCUUUAGUUUGGUUGUCUUUGGUUUUGGACUAUUGCUUUGCAGUAUUCAUCUUGUUUUUGCACACUACAACACCUUCACACAUAUACAUUCAUGCAACCAUCAUCCUGCACGGACACUACUGAAACCACAGACUACAUACAGUACAGGCCAAAAGUUUGGACACACCUUCUCAUUCAAUGCGUUCUCUUUAUUUUCAUAACUAUUUACAUUGUAGAUUCUCACUGAAGGCAUCGAAACUAUGAAUGAACACAUAUGGAAUUAUGUACUUAACAAAAAAGUGUGAAAUAACUGAAAACGUCUUGUAUUUCAGAUUCCUCAAAGUAGCCACCCAUUGCUUUUUUGAUAGUGCUGCAAACCCUUGGUGUUCUCUCAAUGAGCUUCAUAAGGUAGUCACCUGAAAUGGUUUUCACUUCACAGGUGUGCCUCGUCAGGGUUAAUUAGUGGAAUUUUUUCCCUUAUUAAUGGGGUUGGGACCAUCAGUUGUCUUGUGCAGAAGUCAGGUUGAUACACAGCCGACAGCCCUAUUAGACAACUGUUAGAAAUCAUAUUAUGAAGAGCCAAUCAGCUAAGUAAAGGGAAACGAGUGGCCAUCAUUACUUUAACAAAUGAAAGUCAUUCAGUCCGGAAAACUGCGAAAACUUUGAAUGUGUCCCCAAGUGCAAUCGCAAAAACCAUCAAGCGCUACAAUGAAACUGGCUCACAUGAGGACCGCCCCAGGAACGGAAGACCAAGAGUCACCUCUGCUGCUGAGGAUAAGUACAUCUGAGUCAUCAGCCUCAGAAAUCACAGGUUAACAGCAGCUCAGAUUAGAGACCAGCUGAAUGCCACACAGAGUUCUAGCAGCAGACACAUCUUUAGAAAAACUGUUAAGAGGAGACUGUGCGAAUCAGGCCUUCAUGGUUAAGUAGUUGCUAGGAAACCACUGCUAAGGAGAGGCAACAAGCAGAAGAGACUUGUUUGGGCCAACAAACACAAGGAAUGGACAUUAGACCAGUGGAAAUCUGUGCUUUGGUCUGACGAGUUCAAAUUUGAAAUCUUUGGUUCCAGCUGCCGUGUCUUUGUGCGACGCAGAAAAGGUGAACGGAUGGAUUCAACAUGCCUGGUUCCCACCGUGAAGCAUGGAGGAGGAGGUGUGAUGGUGUGGGGGUGCUUUGCUGGUGACACUGUUGGGGACUUAUUCAAAAUUGAAGGCCAAUGACCCCAAAAACACCUCCAGGCUGUAUAAGGGCUAUUUGACCAAGAAGGAGAGUGAUGGAGUGCUGCGCCAGAUGACCUGGUCUCCACAGUCACCAGACCUGAACCCAAUCGAGUUGGUUUGGGGUGAGCUGGACCGCAGAGUGAAGGCAAAAGUGCUAAGCAUCUCUGGGAACUCCUUCAAGACUGUUGGAAAACUAUUUCAGGUGACUACCUCUUGAAGCUCAUCAAGAGAAUGCGAAGAGUGUGUAAAGCAAUAAUCAGAGCAAAGGGUGGCUACUCUGAAGAAACUAGGAAUAUAAGACAUGUUUUCAGUUAUUUCAGUUUUUUGUUAAGUACAUAAUUCCAUAUGUGUUAGUUUAUGUGCAUAGUUUCAAUCCCUUCAGUGAGAAUCUACAAUGUAAAUAGUCAUGAAAAUAAAGACAACGCAUUGAAUGAGAAGGUGUCCAAACUUUUGGCCUGUACUGUAUGUCCAUACUUUAAUUAGGUUAGUUUGAAAUACCUCUUAAUUUGGUUAAUUUUGGUUUAAAUAAACAUUUUGUUAAACUUCUACCAUGGUGUGUCUCCCUUUUGUUGUGGCCUUUUGAGCCAGGUCAUAACAAUCUGUAUUUACUGUCAGUGGUUGCUGGGGAUCUGA